GUCGCUGCAAAUUCAGCGAUCGGGCUUGGUAACCCGGAUUUGAGUAGGCGCACAGCGCCGCGAGAGCGGCUUUUUU
rnacentral:sRNA from 1 species